rnacentral:rRNA from 1 species
GAUGAACGCUGGCGGCGUGCCUAAUACAUGCAAGUCGAGCGAACAGACGAGGAGCUUGCUCCUCUGACGUUAGCGGCGGACGGGUGAGUAACACGUGGAUAACCUACCUAUAAGACUGGUAUAACUUCGGGAAACCGGAGCUAAUACCGGAUAAUAUAUUGAACCGCAUGGUUCAAUAGUGAAAGACGGUUUUGCUGUCACUUAUAGAUGGAUCCGCGCCGCAUUAGCUAGUUGGUAAGGUAACGGCUUACCAAGGCAACGAUGCGUAGCCGACCUGAGAGGGUGAUCGGCCACACUGGAACUGAGACACGGUCCAGACUACUACGGGAGGCAGCAGUAGGGAAUCUUACGCAAUGGGCGAAAGCCUGACGGAGCAACGCCGCGUGAGUGAUGAAGGUCUUCGGAUCGUAAAACUCUGUUAUUAGGGAAGAACAAAUGUGUAAGUAACUAUGCACGUCUUGACGGUACCUAAUCAGAAAGCCACGGCUAACUACGUG